AGAUUGAACGCUGGCGGAAUGCUUUACACAUGCAGGUCGAACGGCAGCACGGGACUCAGGCAACUGAGCCCUGGUGGCGAGUGGCGAACGGGUAGUAACAUAUCGGAACGUACCCAGUCGUGGGGAGUAACUCUCCGAAAGGAGAGCUAAUACCGCAUACGUCCUGAGGAGAAAGCGGGGACCGUAAGGGUAACUGAGGGCCUCGCGCGAGUUGGAGCGGCCGAUAUCGGAUUAGCUAGUUGGUGAAGGUAAGGCGUCACCGAAGGCGACGAUCCGUAGCGGGUCUGAGACGGACGACCGCCACCACGUCGGAACUGACGACGACGGUC
rnacentral:rRNA from 1 species